AACAGGCGAGUCGACUCCUGAUCGCGCGAGUCGACUCCGAUCCCAACGGUCAUAUUGUCAGGAGGUGCAGACUGGUUCCAACGGCUCUAUUUUUGUCUCUAACGGCUAUAUUCUUGUCUCCACGCCAUCUAAAGCUAUAAAAACAAGAGGAGAGCUAGGGGAGACGGUAUGGAAGUGGGAGAAAACAUUUAGGGAAGAGAUUCCAAGAGAAAUCUCCCAUAAGCACAAUAAGGGCCAUUCAAAGUGAAAUAGAGAGAAGAAGAGCUUCCAAGUGUAUUCCAAAGCUUCCUCUCCAUCCGUGUGCUGCCGCGGUGAUCCUCUACUUCGUGCCAAAUCAGAAGAGGGUCAAGUAAAGAAGAAGUCGAGCUCCUCCAUCUUCAAAACUCGUUUGAGGGCUUCUCUUUACUCUAUUUGUUUAUAUUGUUAUAUUUGCUUGUUUAAGAAGCUUUGAUUUGUUUUAAACUUUGUUU
rnacentral:lncRNA from 1 species